UGCAGUCGACGAAGUAGCAAUACUUAGUGGCAGACGGGUGAGUAACAUGUAGGUAUCUGCCCUUUGGCCUGGAAUAACACGAGGAAACUUGUGCUAAUACCGGAUAAGUCUUUACGGAGAAAGCUUUAUGCACCAUUGGAUGAGCCUGCACUUGAUUAGUUUGUUGGUGGGGUAAUGGCCUACCAAGACUGUGAUCAAUAGCUGAUUUGAGAGGAUGAUCAGCCACAUUGGGACUGAGACACGGCCCAAACUCCUACGGGAGGCAGCAGUGGGGAAUCUUGCACAAUGGAGGAAACUCUGAUGCAGCGAUGCCGCGUGAGUGAAGAAGGCCCUUGGGUUGUAAAGCUCUUUCGUCGGGGAAGAAAAUGACUGUACCCGAAUAAGAAGGUCCGGCUAACUUCGUGCCAGCAGCCGCGGUAAUACGAAGGGACCUAGCGUAGUUCGGAAUUACUGGGCUUAAAGAGUUCGUAGGUGGUUGAAAAAGUUAGUGGUGAAAUCCCAGAGCUUAACUCUGGAACUGCCAUUAAAACUUUUCAGCUAGAGUAUGAUAGAGGAAAGCAGAAUUUCUAGUGUAGAGGUGAAAUUCGUAGAUAUUAGAAAGAAUACCAAUUGCGAAGGCAGCUUUCUGGAUCAUUACUGACACUGAGGAACGAAAGCAUGGGUAGCGAAGAGGAUUAGAUACCCUCGUAGUCCAUGCCGUAAACGAUGUGUGUUAGACGUUGGAAAUUUAUUUUCAGUGUCGCAGGGAAACCGAUAAACACACCGCCUGGGGGAGUACGACCGCAAGGUUAAAACUCAAAUGAAUUGACGGGGACCCGCACAAGUAGUGGGAGCAUGUGGUUUAAUUCGAAGAUACGCGCAGAACCUUACCAACACU
rnacentral:rRNA from 1 species